rnacentral:rRNA from 1 species
UACGAAGGGUGCAAGCGUUAAUCGGAAUUACUGGGCGUAAAGCGUGCGCAGGCGGUUUUGUAAGUUUGUCGUGAAAGCCCCGAGCUCAACCUGGGAAUGGCGAUGAAGACUGCAAGGCUUGAAUCUGGCAGAGGGGGGUAGAAUUCCACGUGUAGCAGUGAAAUGCGUAGAGAUGUGGAGGAACACCGAUGGCGAAGGCAGCCCCCUGGGUCAAGAUUGACGCUCAUGCACGAAAGCGUGGGGAGCAAACAGG